CCAUAUUACAUUGAAAUAACGGUCCUCGACCGAUCACCGAAGUUAAGCAGCGUCGAGCCUGAUCUGUAUCUAGAGGGGUGACCGCUUCGGAAUAACAGGUGUUGUAAG